CUCACCGUCAGGUCCUGCCGCAGGGAUUUCAGCUGCUCGCAGGCCCAGGCGUAGUCGCGGUGCUGCUGCCAGUGCGAGCGCACCAGGGCCAGCGCCUGCCGCAGCACCUGCGGAUUUUGGGGCGUUUUGGGGCGUUUUGGGCCUUUUCGGAGCAUUUCGGGGGUUUCAAGGAGGAUUUUGGGGGUUUUGGGGUGGAUUUUGGGGGCUUUGGGGUGGAUUUUGGGGGUUUUGGGGUGGAUUUUGGGGGAUUUUUCUGUGGAUUUUGGGGGGUUUUUAUGUGGAUUUUGGGGGGUUCCGUGGCAGAUUUUGGGGUUUUUGGGGUGAUGUUUUUGGGGUGGAUUUUGGGGUGAAUUUCGGUGGUUUUGGGGUCACUCACCGGCACGGGUCUCACAGUACUGGGAUCAGGAUUAUUUCGUCAUAUUUUUGGUGGAUUUUGGGGUAUUUUGGGACGUUUUGGACACUCACCGGCACGGGUCACAUGGUACUGGGAUCAGGGAUAUUUUGGGGGUGGAUAUCAGAGUUUUUGGGAUAUUUUGGGAUGGAUUUUGGGAUAUUUUGGGACAUUUUGGGUUAUUUUUGGGUGGAUUUUGGGUGGAUUUUGGGAUAUUUUGGGAUGUUUUGGCUCGCUCACCGGCACGGGUCUGACGGUGCUGGGAUCGGGGUUAUUUUUGGGUGGAUUUUGGGAUAUUUUGGGACAUUUUGUGAUAUUUUUGGGUGGAUUUUGGGUGGAUUUUGGGAUAUUUUGGCACAUUUUGGGGUGAAUUUCGCAGUUUUUGGCUCGCUCACCGGCACGGGUCUGACGGUGCUGGGAUCGGGGUUAUUUUUGGGUGGAUUUUGGGAUAUUUUGGGGUGGAUUUUGGGGUGAAUUUCUGUGUUUUUGGCUCGCUCACCGGCACGGGUCUGACGGUGCUGGGAUCGGGGUUAUUUUUGGGUGGAUUUUGGGAUAUUUUGGCACGUUUUGGCUCGCUCACCGGCACGGGUCUGACGGUGCUGGGAUCGGGGUUA
rnacentral:lncRNA from 1 species